CAGUCGCCGCGGGAAUACGGAGGGGGCUAGCGUUGUUCGGAAUUACUGGGCGUAAAGCGCACGUAGGCGGCUUGGUAAGUUAGAGGUGAAAGCCCAGGGCUCAACCCUGGAAUUGCCUUUAAGACUGCCGAGCUAGUAGGUGAGAGAGGUAAGUGGAACUCCGAGUGUAGAGGUGAAAUUCGUAGAUAUUCGGAAGAACACCAGUGGCGAAGGCGGCUUACUGGCUCAUUCUAGACGCUGAGGUGCGAAAGCGUGGGGAGCAAACAGGAUUAGAGACCCCUGUAGUCCCUGUCUCUUAUAC
rnacentral:rRNA from 1 species